GGAAUAUUGGUCAAUGGACGAGAGUCUGAACCAGCCAAGUAGCGUGAAGGAUGACUGCCCUAUGGGUUGUAAACUUCUUUUGUGCGGGAGCAAUAAGGUCCACGUGUGGGCCGACGAGAGUACCGUACGAAUAAGCAUCGGCUAACUCCGUGCCAGCCGCCGCGGUAAUACGGGGGAUGCAAGCGUUAUCCGGAUUUAUUGGGUUUAAAGGGUGCGUAGGCUGUGAGGUAAGUCAGCGGUGAAAUGCCCCCGCUCAACGGGGUGAAGUGCCAUUGAUACUGCCUUGCUGGAAUGCGGAUGCCGUGGGAGGAAUGUGUGGUGUAGCGGUGAAAUGCAUAGAUAUCACACAGAACACCGAUUGCGAAGGCAUCUCACGAAUCCGCGAUUGACGCUGAUGCACGAAAGCGUGGGUAUCAAACAG
rnacentral:rRNA from 1 species